AGAGUUUGAUCAUGGCUCAGGACGAACGCUGGCGGCGUGCUUAACACAUGCAAGUCGAACGGAGAACUUAUUUCGGUAAGUUCUUAGUGGCGAACGGGUGAGUAACGCGUGGGCAACCUGCCCUCCAGUUGGGGACAACAUUCCGAAAGGGAUGCUAAUACCGAAUGUGCUCCCUUCUCCGCAUGGAGGAGGGAGGAAGAUGGCCUCUGCUUGCAAGCUAUCGCUGGAAGAUGGGCCCGCGUCUGAUUAGCUAGUUGGUGGGGUAACGGCUCACCAAGGUCGAUGAUCAGUAGCCGGUCUGAGAGGAUGAACGGCCACAUUGGGACUGAGACGCGGCCCAAACUCCUACGGGAGGCA
rnacentral:rRNA from 1 species